rnacentral:rRNA from 1 species
UACGUAGGGGCAAGCGUUAUCCGGAUUUACUGGGUGUAAAGGGAGCGCAGACGGAACUGCAAGUCUGAUGUGAAAGCCCGGGGCUCAACCGCGGGACUGCAUUGGAAACUGUAGAUCUGGAGUGCCGGAGGGGCAAGCGGAAUUCCUGGUGUAGCGGUGAAAUGCGUAGAUAUCAGGAGGAACACCGGCGGCGAAGGCGGCUUGCUGGACGGCAACUGACGUUGAGGCUCGAAAGCGUGGGGAGCAAACAGGAUUAGAUACCCGCGUA